rnacentral:rRNA from 1 species
AACGAACGCUGGCGGCAGGCCUAACACAUGCAAGUCGAACGAGUAAGAGCCGUAGCAAUACGGAGUUCUGCUAGUGGCGCACGGGUGAGUAACGCGUGGGAACGUGCCUUGGAGUUCGGGAUAACAGUUGGAAACGACUGCUAAUACCGAAUAUUCCCUCAGGGGGAAAGAUUUAUCGCUCCAAGAUCGGCCCGCGUAAGAUUAGGUAGUUGGUGGGGUAAUGGCCUACCAAGCCUACGAUCUUUAGCUGGUCUGAGAGGACGACCAGCCACACUGGAACUGAGACACGGUCCAGACUCCUACGGGAGGCAGCAGUGGGGAAUAUUGGACAAUGGGCGAAAGCCUGAUCCAGCCAUGCCGCGUGAAUGAUGAAGGCCUUAGGGUUGUAAAAUUACUUUUGUCAGGGGAAGAUAAUGAUGGUACCCUGCGAAUAAGCUCCGGCUAACUUCGUGCCAGCAGCCGCGGUAAU